rnacentral:lncRNA from 1 species
CCUAGCUACUUAAUCAUCAAUAGCUAACUGUUUGCCACCGGACGUCAGCACUGGCAGAGCAGGAAGCGCUCAUUCCAUCCUGCUCCCCUUUCUAGAGACGUAAGACUCAGAAAGUGAAGUGGUUGAGCUGGGCUCCAUCUCCUACCCUCCUCGCUGCCGCUCCUUGCGCUACACCACACUUCUCUCUGCUUCUUGCAAACUCGCUGAGUCUACUGGCAGCCACUCUAACAGGUUUACAAUUGGCAAAGCUAUUGGGAGGGGAGCUUCACUGUUUAGUUGCAAACUAAGGGCUUCCUCAGUUCCAGUCUCCCUAGUCAAGCAGUCACUGUCACAGGCAGGUCAUCAUACCACCACGGAGUAGCUGACAGACCUUCUGUUUUGGAGAAGGAGAUUGCAUCACCAACCAGCUUCUGUGUCUUCGGUAUUCUUGACUACAGGAUGAGCCAAACAGUUAAGUUCAGAUUGGCUGUACCACAAUGUGGUCAUUUUGCUCAUCUGAACAUGGCUUACACCAAAAGAAACUAUCCUGCGCACAUAGCUGUUUCUCUCCUCCUUCUUUAUGACACAGAAGGUUUCUGGAGAGUGGAGCUAAGCCACACCCACCCUCCAGUCCUGCAUCCAGUCAACAAAUGCCAAGGACGUCUCUGUGGAACAUCAGGAAAACCUCUAACCAUGAAGCAUGAGAAUUAUGGGGACACAGAAUAUGGUGUGUAUCCGCCUAGGCAUGUGCUUGGAGAGAACCGUGGUGAAACUCCCCGGGACAUCAAUGUUUCUACAGAUGUUUUGCACAAAACUAAACAUUUGAACUGCUUCAGUGAAAAGCACCGCAAGGUGACUGAGUAGAAAAGCCGCGGUCUCUGACGUUUGUGGAUGGAGGGGUCAAGAAGUCCACCAGGCGUGGAGAAGACGAGCCUUUUCCAUGGACUCCACCACACAGGCCCUAGUGGAACGCAUGAAACGCAUGGCGACCCCGGGUGGUCAUCACUGCAGCCCGUUUCAGAGACAGAACCUUAGCCCGAAAGUGUGGACACAGUUCCUCUGCUCCCGCUCCCUGGCAGUUCCCAUUGACUGGGAGAGAAGCUGUCUAAUGGAUACAGUUUGGCCUUCCAUCUUCAACAGUCGUUGCGGCUUGCAAAUUUUAGUCUGAAUGACUAUGGUUAUUCAGUCCUUAGGCGCUCAGAGCCCCUCCCUUUUGCCCCACCCCCAGCCGCAGCUCGGAAACCUCCCUCCCUCGCCCCGUCUUCCAGGAAGCUUCUCCCACUGCCAGUGCUAUCCAGUGUCACUUAAUUUUAUUACUUUUAAUAAAAGUAUUCUAAAAAUAUAUUUCUAAAAGCGAAUUAACUUUUCUAGCUUUGUA